GCCAGACUCCUACGGGAGGCAGCAGUGGGGGAUAUUGCACAAUGGGGGGAACCCUGAUGCAGCGACGCCGCGUGGGUGAAGGAGCGUUUCGGCGCGUAAAGCCCUAUCGGCAGGGAAGAAGGAGGACGGUACCUGACUAAGAAGCCCCGGCUAACUACGUGCCAGCAGCCGCGGUAAUACGUAGGGGGCAAGCGUUAUCCGGAUUUACUGGGUGUAAAGGGGGCGCAGACGGCAGCGCAAGCCAGGAGUGAAAGCCCGGGGCCCAACCCCGGGACUGCUCUUGGAACUGCCGGGCUGGAGUGCAGGAGGGGCAGGCGGAAUUCCUAGUGUAGCGGUGAAAUGCGUAGAUAUUAGGAGGAACACCAGUGGCGAAGGCGGCCUGCUGGACUGCAACUGACGUUGAGGCUCGAAGGCGUGGGGAGCAAACAGGAUUAGAUACCCUCGUA
rnacentral:rRNA from 1 species